GACGAACGCUGGCGGCGUGCUAACACAUGCAAGUCGAACGAGUGGCGAACGGGUGAGUAAUAUAUCGGAACGUGCCCAGUAGCGGGGGAUAACUACUCGGAAGAGUGCUAUACCGCAUACUAUUGGAGCGGCCGAUAUCGGAUUAGCUAGUUGGUGGGGUAAAGGCUCACCAAGGCAACGAUCCGUAGCUGGUUUGAGUGGACGACCAGCCACACUGGGACUGAGACACGGCCCAGACUCCUACGGGAGGCAGCAGUGGGGAAUUUUGGACAAUGGGGGAAACCCUGAUCCAGCCAUCCCGCGUGUAUGAUGAAGGCUUCGGGUUGUAAAGUACUUUCAGUCGGGAGGCGUUACCGACAGAAGAAGCACCGGCUAACUCCGUGCCAGCAGCCGCGGUAAUAC
rnacentral:rRNA from 1 species